rnacentral:rRNA from 1 species
AGUCUAUUCAGAGGAACCUGUCCUAUAAUCGAUAAUCCACGAGUUUAUUUACUUAUUUUUAUAUUUGCAUAUCGUCGUAGGUUGAAUAUUUCAUAAUGAAUAUAUGAAUAUUCAAGAUUUUAGUAAAAAAAGAAUUCAGAUCAAGGUGUAGUUUAUAGAUAAGAAGAGAUGGGUUACAAUGAUUAUAUUUAAACUGAAGAUUUUUUUAAUAAAAUUUUAAAGGUGGAUUUGAUAGUAAUUUUAAAAAUAUAUUUAAAAUGAUUUUAGCUCUAAAAUAUGUACAUAUCGCCCGUCGCUUUCAUUCUAAAGUGGAAUAAGUCGUAACAAAGUAGGUGUACCGGAAGGUGUCCCUAGAAACAU